CAAUAGCGUAUAUUAACGUUGUUGCAGUUAAAAAGCUCGUAGUUGGAUUUCUGGAGGGAGCGUCGGCCCGUAUUUACGAGUGCGUGACGUCUCUGUCCAUCCUUGCGGGAAGGCACGGCAUUGAUUUGUUGUGUCGGAUCGCAUCAUUUACUGUGAAAAGAUUAGAGUGUUCAAAGCAGGCUUUCGCUUGAAUACAUUAGCAUGGAAUAAUAAGAUAGGACUUUGGUGCUAUUUUGUUGGUUGAGCCUAAAGUAAUGAUUAAUAGGGAUAGUUGGGGGCACCUGUAUUGCGUUGUCAGAGGUGAAAUUCUUGGAUUUACGCAAGACAAACAGCUGCGAANGNGUCUGCNAAGGAUGUUUNCAUUA
rnacentral:rRNA from 1 species